UACAGAGGUCCCGAGCGUUGUUCGGAUUCACUGGGCUUAAAGCGUGUGUAGGCGGAUGGGUAAGUACCUUGUGAAAUCCCACGGCUCAACCGUGGAACUGCUCGGUAUACUGCUCGUCUUGAGCCAACUAGGGGCGACCGGAACAAACGGUGGAGCGGUGAAAUGCGUAGAUAUCGUUUGGAACGCCGAUGGUGAAAACAGGUCGCUGGGGUUGUGCUGACGCUGAGACACGAAAGCCAGGGGAGCGAACGGG
rnacentral:rRNA from 1 species